rnacentral:rRNA from 1 species
AGAGUUUGAUCCUGGCUCAGGAUGAACGCUGGCGGCGUGCCUAACACAUGCAAGUCGAACGGGAAUAGGAUGAAACCUAGUGAUUCCUAUUCUAGUGGCGGACGGGUGAGUAACGCGUGGGUAACCUGCCUUGCACUGGGGGAUAACACUUAGAAAUAGGUGCUAAUACCGCAUAAGCGCACAGAACCGCAUGGUUCGGUGUGAAAAACUCCGGUGGUGUAAGAUGGACCCGCGUCUGAUUAGCUGGUUGGUGAGGUAACGGCUCACCAAGGCGACGAUCAGUAGCCGGCCUGAGAGGGUGAACGGCCACAUUGGGACUGAGACACGGCCCAAACUCCUACGGGAGGCAGCAGUGGGGAAUAUUGCACAAUGGGGGAAACCCUGAUGCAGCAACGCCGCGUGAGUGAAGAAGUCAUUCGUGAUGUAAAGCUCUAUCAGCAGGGAAGAAAAUGACGGUACCUGACUAAGAAGCCCCGG